rnacentral:rRNA from 1 species
GUUUAAUUCGAUGCAACGCGAAAAACCUUACCCACCUUUGACAUGUACGGAACCCUUUAGAGAUAGAGGGGUGCUCGAAAGAGAGCCGUAACACAGGUGCUGCAUGGCUGUCGUCAGCUCGUGUCGUGAGAUGUUGGGUUAAGUCCCGCAACGAGCGCAACCCUUGUCAUUAGUUGCUACAUUCAGUUGGGCACUCUAAUGAGACUGCCGGUGACAAGCCGGAGGAAGGUGGGGAUGACGUCAAGUCCUCAUGGCCCUUAUAGGUGGGGCUACACACGUCAUACAAUGGCUGGUACAAAGGGUUGCCAACCCGCGAGGGGGAGCUAAUCCCACAAAGCCAGUCGUAGUCCGGAUCGUAGUCUGCAACUCGACUACGUGAAGUCGGAAUCGCUAGUAAUCGUGGAUCAGAAUGUCACGGUGAAUACGUUCCCGGGUCUUGUACACACCGCCCGUCACACCAUGGGAGCGGGUUCUGCCAGAAGUAGUUAGCUUAACCGCAAGGAGGGCGAUUACCACGGCAGGGUUCGUGACUGGGGUGAAGUCGUAACAAGGUA